rnacentral:rRNA from 1 species
GUGAGUAACACGUAGGCAACCUGCCCUCAAGUUUGGGACAACUACCGGAAACGGUAGCUAAUACCGAAUAAUUGUUUUCUUCGCCUGAAGGAAACUGGAAAGACGGAGCAAUCUGUCACUUGGGGAUGGGCCUGCGGCGCAUUAGCUAGUUGGUGAGGUAACGGCUCACCA